rnacentral:rRNA from 1 species
GACGAACGCUGGCGGCGUGCUUAACACAUGCAAGUCGAACGGAAAGGCCCUGCUUUUGUGGGGUGCUCGAGUGGCGAACGGGUGAGUAACACGUGAGUAACCUGCCCUUGACUUUGGGAUAACUUCAGGAAACUGGGGCUAAUACCGGAUAGGAGCUCCUGCUGCAUGGUGGGGGUUGGAAAGUUUCGGCGGUUGGGGAUGGACUCGCGGCUUAGCAGCUUGUUGGUGGGGUAGUGGCUUACCAAGGCUUUGACGGGUAGCCGGCCUGAGAGGGUGACCGGCCACAUUGGGACUGAGAUACGGCCCAGACUCGUACGGGAGGCAGCAGUGGGGAAUAUUGCACAAUGGGAGGAAGCCUGAUGCAGCAGCGCCGCGUGCGGGAUGACGGCCUUCGGGUUGUAAACCGCUUUCGCCUGUGACGAAGCGUGAGUGACGGUAAUGGGUAAAGAAGCACCGGCUAACUACGUG